AGAACGAACGCUGGCGGCAUGCCUAAUACAUGCAAGUCGAACGAGAUCUUCGCAUCUAGUGGCGCACGGGUGCGUAACGCGUGGGAAUCUGCCCUUGGGUUCGGAAUAACAGUUGGAAACGACUGCUAAUACCGGAUGAUAUCGAAAGAUCAAAGAUUUAUCGCCCAGGGAUGACGCCCGCGUAGGAUUAGCUAGUUGGUGAGGUAAAGGCUCACCAAGGCGACGAUCCUUAGCUGGUCUGAGAGGAUGAUCAGCCACACGUGGGACUGAGACACCGGCCAGACUCCGUACGGGAGCAGCAGGUAGGGAAUAUUAGGACAAGUGGGCACAAGCCUGAUCCAG
rnacentral:rRNA from 1 species